rnacentral:rRNA from 1 species
CGGGGCGCUCCAGCAGUGAGGAAUAUUGCACAAUGGGGGGAACCCUGAUGCAGCAACGCCGCGUGGAGGAUGACGCAUUUCGGUGUGUAAACUCCUUUUAUAUGUCAAGAAAAUGACGGUAGCAUAUGAAUAAGCACCGGCUAACUCCGUGCCAGCAGCCGCGGUAAUACGGAGGGUGCAAGCGUUACUCGGAAUCACUGGGCGUAAAGGACGCGUAGGCGGGUUGGAAAGUCAGGUGUGAAAUCCUACAGCUUAACUGUAGAACUGCACUUGAAACUUCUAAUCUAGAGUAUGGGAGGGGGAGAUGGAAUUAGUGGUGUAGGGGUAAAAUCCGUAGAUAUCACUAGGAAUACCUAAAGCGAAGGCGAUCUCCUAGAACAUUACUGACGCUAAGGCAUGAAAGCGUGGGGAGCAAACAGGAUUAGAUACCCUCGUAGUC